GGUUAAGCGACUAAGCGUACACGGUGGAUGCCCUGGCAGUCAGAGGCGAUGAAGGGCGUGCUAAUCUGCGAUAAGCGCCGGUAAGGUGAUAUGAACCGUUAUAACCGGCGAUACCCGAAUGGGGAAACCCAGUGUGACUCGUCACACUAUCAUUAACUGAAUCCAUAGGUUAAUGAGGCGAACCGGGGGAACUGAAACAUCUAAGUACCCCGAGGAAAAGAAAUCAACCGAGAUUCCCCCAGUAGCGGCGAGCGAACGGGGAGGAGCCCAGAGCCUGAAUCAGCAUGUGUGUUAGUGGAAGCGUCUGGAAAGGCGCGCGAUACAGGGUGACAGCCCCGUACACAAAAGCGCAUGUGUUGUGAGCUCGAUGAGUAGGGCGGGACACGUGAUAUCCUGUCUGAAUAUGGGGGGACCAUCCUCCAAGGCUAAAUACUCCUGACUGACCGAUAGUGAACCAGUACCGUGAGGGAAAGGCGAAAAGAACCCCGGCGAGGGGAGUGAAAAAGAACCUGAAACCGUGUACGUACAAGCAGUGGGAGCACCCUUUUGGGUGUGACUGCGUACCUUUUGUAUAAUGGGUCAGCGACUUAUAUUCUGUAGCAAGGUUAACCG
rnacentral:rRNA from 1 species